GACGAACGCUGGCGGCGUGCUUAACACAUGCAAGUCGAACGGAAAGGCCCUGCUUUUGUUGGGUGCUCGAGUGGCGAACGGGUGAGUAACACGUGUGUAUCCUGCCCUUGACUUUGGGAUAACUUCAGGAAACUGGGGCUAAUACCGGAUAUGAGCUCCUGCUGCAUGUUGUGGGUUGGAAAGUUUCGGCGGUUCGGGCUGGACUCGCGGCUUAUCCGCUUGUUGGGGGGGUAGUGGCUUACCAAGGCUUUGACGGGUAGCCGGCCUGAGAGGGUUACCGGCCACAUGGGGACUGAGAGACGGAGCAGACGCCUAAGGGAGGCAGUAGGGGGAAAUAUUGCAGAAUGGGCGGAAGCCUGAUGCAGCAACGCCGCGUGCGGGAUGACGGGUUUCGGGGUGUAAACAGAUUUCGACGGUGACGAAGAGGGAGUGACGGUAAUGGGUAAAGAAGCAACGGCUAACUACGUG
rnacentral:rRNA from 1 species